CCAGAUCCUCGUCACCCUUCCUGCCGUGUUGGAACCGUUGCGGAAUUUUUGAGCGGUCCCCGGCACCUGGCUUGUCCCUUUCGUGUCCCAUGUUAGAAAUCAUGUUCUUCUCCUUCCCUGUGUAAGGAAAUGAUACGUAUCCCACCCAAUCAGCAAAUGACUCACAAGCUUCCUACUCCAUUCCUUUGUUCCCUGGCUACCAAAACAGGCAGGUGACCCAUAUUUGUCAUGGGCUUCCAGGUGGCGCUACUGAUGAAGAACCCAUGUGCCAAAUGCAAGAAACGUGAAAUGUGGGUUCGAUCCCUGGGUCUGGAAGAUCCUCUGGAGGAAGGCAUGACAACCCACUCCAGUAUCCUUGCCUGGGAAAUCUCAUGGAUGGAGGAGUUCAUGGGAUCACAAAGGGUCAGACACAACCGAAGUGACUUAGCACACAUACUCCCUCACCACUGGAAAAGCUGGCCUGCUCACAGUGUCUCCUGGUCUAAUAAACUCUGUUCUCCUUUCAUUCUGUCUUGUGUCUGGAAGUUCUUUUCUGACCUGUGCACAGAACAUAAAAACCUGAUGUGUGCUCUUAAUAAUUUGCAGUGGGGAGCCGGCCAUCUGUGUGAUGGGAGAGGCCCCAUGUCCUCAGUGGAGAGGUCUAAUGAUGGGGAGGCCGGCUGAGCUGCAGGAGAGGAUGGGCUGGGCAGAGAGAGCAGAGCAGCCUGCCCUGUUACCACAGCGGGGCCCGCCUUGCUGCCAAGUGUGUGCCAUGGCAGGCACGUGGGGUCUCAGCUCCCCGACCAGAGAUUCAGCUCACACUUCGUGUGCUGGAAGGUGGUCUCAACCACUGGACUGUCAGGAAGUCCCCAGGUUUUCAAAAGAAGCCAGACUGCUGGAUUUUGGUGUGAAGCUAUGCCAUUUUUGAAACACAAUGUACAUUUUGAAUAGAUUCUGUUCCGGGUUUUUGAACACCUGAAAAUAAAACUAUUCUUUGAGUCAAAAACGAUGGUACAGUUUUGAGAUUUGCCCGAGCUGCCACCAGGGGGUAGGGAAGAGACGUCGCAGAGUAUCACAAGUGGUGGAAGAAGAGCAGACGUUACAGGACUGUCUUUUCUGAAUCUGGCCCAUUUAAUGCACCAGCUCAUCUCUGUUCCAUCUAGCCACAUUUCAAAUGCUCAAUAUUCACCUGUGGUCGGUGGGCUCAGCUCUAAACACCUAGUAUCUGUUAUGGAUUGAAACAUGUUUCCUCAAAAAUUCAGAUGUUGAAGACCUAAACCCCAGUACCUCAAAAAGUGACCUGAUUUGGAGCUGAAGUCUUUACAGAAGUAAUCAAGUUAAAAUGAAGCCUUUAGGAUGCAUCUGAGCAAAGGUCCAUCUAGUCAAGGCUAUGGUUUUUCCAGUGGUCAUGUAUGUAUGUGAGUUGUACUGUAAAGAAAGCUGAGUGCCGAAGAACUGAUGCUUUUGAACUGUGGUGUUGGAGAAGACUCUUGAGAGUCUCUUGGACUGCAAGGAGAUCCUACCAGUCCAUCCUAAAGGAGAUCAGUCCUGAGUGUUCAUUGGAAGGACUGAUGUUGAAACUGAAACUCCAAUACUUUGGCCACCUGAUGCGAAGAGCUGAUUCAUUGGAAAAGACCCUGAUGCUGGGAAAGAUUGAAGGUAGAAGGAGAAGGGAAUGACAGAGGGUGAGAUGGUUGGAUGGCAUCACCGACUCAAUGGACAUGAGUUUGGGUAAACUCUGGGAGUUGGUGAUGGACAGGGAGGCCUGGUGUGCUGUGGUUCAUGGGGUUGCAAAGAGUCAGACACAACUGAACGACUGAGCUGAACUGAUCUGAACUGAACCUCCUCAAUGGCUGCUUGGUAAAGAACCUGCCUGCAGUGCAGGAGACACAGGAGACACAGGUUUGAUCCCUGAGUCGAGGAGAUCCCCUGGAGGAGGAAAUGGCAACCCAGUGCAGUCUUCUUGACUGGAGAAUCCUAGGGACAGAGAAGCCUGGUGGGCUACAGUCUCUGGGGUCGUAAAGAUUGGCUACGACCAGGCACACAAGCACACAGCAGUGCAGAAUGCAUCCUAAUCCAGCAUGACUGAUGUGCUUACGCAACGAGGACCUCUGGAGGAGACAGACUCACAUGCAGGGAGAGCGCCAUGUAAAGAUGAAG
ensembl:lncRNA